AGAGUUUGAUCCUGGCUCAGGAUGAACGCUGGCGGCGUGCCUAACACAUGCAAGUCGAACGAAGCUCCGAGCUUCGAGUUUUCGGACAAGAAGUAAGGAAGACUUAGUGGCGGACGGGUGAGUAACGCGUGAGCAACCUGCCUCAGAGUGGGGGACAACAGCUGGAAACGGCUGCUAAUACCGCAUAAUAUUUAAUUAAGGCAUCUUGAUUAAAUCAAAGCUUAAUGUGCUCUGAGAUGGGCUCGCGUCUGAUUAGCUAGUUGGCAGGGUAACGGCCUACCAAGGCGACGAUCAGUAGCCGGACUGAGAGGUUGAACGGCCACAUUGGGACUGAGAUACGGCCCAGACUCCUACGGGAGGCAGCAGUGGGGAAUAUUGGUCAAUGGGGGAAGCCCUGAACCAGCAACGCCGCGUGAAGGAAGAAGGCUUUCGGGUUGUAAACUUCUUUUAUCUGUGACGAUAGUGACGGUAACAGAUGAAUAAGCUACGGCUAACUACGUGCCAGCAGCCGCGGUAAUACGUAGGUAGCGAGCGUUAUCCGGAUUUACUGGGUGUAAAGGGCGCGUAGGCGGGGACGCAAGUCAGAUGUGAAAACUAUGGGCUUAACUCAUAGCCUGCAUUUGAAACUGUGUUUCUUGAGUAUCGGAGAGGCAAUCGGAAUUCCGUGUGUAGCGGUGAAAUGCGUAGAUAUACGGAAGAACACCAGUGGCGAAGGCGGAUUGCUGGACGACAACUGACGCUGAGGCGCGAAAGCGUGGGGAGCAAACAGGAUUAGAUACCCUGGUAGUCCACGCCGUAAA
rnacentral:rRNA from 1 species